rnacentral:rRNA from 1 species
GGAAAAGAAAAUAACAAUGAUUUCCCUAGUAACGGCGAGUGAAGAGGAAAGAGCUCAAAGUUGGAACCUGUUUGGCUUAGCUAAACCGGAUUGUAAACUGUAGAAACGUUUUCCUGGCACGCCAGAUAAAUAAGUCCUUUGGAACAGGGCAUCAUAGAGGGUGAGAAUCCCGUCUUUGGUCUGAGCUGUUGUCUUUUGUGAUACGUUUUCAAAGAGUCAGGUUGUUUGGGAAUGCAGCCUAAAUUGGGUGGUAAAUCUCACCUAAAGCUAAAUAUUUGCGAGAGACCGAUAGCGAACAAGUACCGUGAGGGAAAGAUGAAAAGAACUUUGAAAAGAGAGUUAAACAGUAUGUGAAAUUGUUAAAAGGGAACCGUUUGGAGCCAGACUGGCUUGAUCGUAAUCAAUCUAGGUUUCGACCUGGAUGCACUUGCGGUCUAUGCCUGCCAACGACAGUUCUUUCUGAAGGAUAAAACUAGGAGGAAUGUGGCCCCUCGGGGUGUUAUAGCCUCUUAGAUAAUACUUUGGAUGGGACUGAGGAACGCAGUGAAUGCUUAUGGCGAAAUUGCUAGGCGCUUUUGUUGAUAGAUGUUAGAAUUUCUACUUCGGGUAGUGCUGAUGUCUAAAGGUAAAACUCGUUUGGUUAAUUUUCUAUUCACUUAGGUUGUUGGCUUAAUGACUCUAAAUG